rnacentral:rRNA from 1 species
CCACCGCGGUUAUACGAGAGGCCCAAGUUGACAAACAACGGCGUAAAGAGUGGUUAGGGGAUUUACUAAACUAGAGCCGAACGCUUUCAAAGCUGUUAUACGCACCCGAGAGUAUGAAACCCAAUUACGAAAGUAGCUCUACCUGUCCUGAACCCACGAAAGCUAAGAAACAAACUGGGAUUAGAUACCCCACUAUGCUUAGCCCUAAACAUCGAUUGCACCAUACACUCAAUAUCCGCCCGGGAAUUAUGAACGUCAGUUUAAAACCCAAAGGACUUGGCGGUGCUUAACAUCCACCUAGAGGAGCCUGUUCUAGAACCGAUAACCCCCGUUAAACCUCACCCUCUCUUGUUUUAUCCGCCUAUAUACCACCGUCGUCAGCUUACCCUGUGAAGGUCUUACAGUAAGCAAAAUUGGCACAGCCCAAAACGUCAGGUCGAGGUGUAGUGAAUGAGGGGGGAAGAAAUGGGCUACAUUUGCUAAACAUAGCAAACACGAAUGUUGCAUUGAAACAUGCAGCUGAAGGAGGAUUUAGCAGUAAGCAGGAAAUAGAGCGUCCCGCUGAAACUGGCCCUAAAGCGCGCACACACCGCCCGUCACCCUCCCCAAGCUCCCCCCGUACUAAACUAAUUAAAAACCAACAACCCGCGAAGGGGAGGAAAGUCGUAACAUGGUAAGUG